rnacentral:tRNA from 1 species
GGGCGCAUAGCUCAGCUGGUUAGAGUAUUAGCUCGACAAGCUAAGGGUCACUGGUUCGAUCCCAGUUGCGCCCACCA